UACGGGGGGGGGCAAGCGUUGUUCGGAAUUACUGGGCGUAAAGGGUCUGUAGGUGGUCUGCUAAGUCAGACGUGAAAUCCCUCAGCUUAACUGGGGGAACUGCGUCUGAUACUGGCGGACUUGAGGGCAGGAGAGGAACGCGGAAUUCCAGGUGUAGCGGUGAAAUGCGCAGAUAUCAGGAGGAACACCGAUGGCGAAAGGCAGGUCUCU
rnacentral:rRNA from 1 species